GAUAGGGAGGCUUAUAUGGCUAGCGUUUUGGCUAGGUAUCGAAAGACCUUGGUUGAAAGAACCAAGCAUCAUUUAGGUUAUCCUUAUAAUCUGGACUUUGAUUAUGGUGCUUUGGGACAGUUGCAGCAUUUCUCCAUAAACAAUCUUGGUGAUCCAUUUAUUGAGAGUAACUAUGGUGUCCAUUCAAGACAGUUUGAAGUUGGUGUUUUAGAUUGGUUUGCCCGUCUAUGGGAGAUAGAGAAAAGUGAAUACUGGGGUUACAUGACAAACUGCGGUACAGAAGGAAAUCUUCAUGGGAUUUUAGUAGGGAGGGAAGUGUUUCCAGAUGGAAUUCUGUAUGCAUCACGAGAGUCGCAUUAUUCUGUCUUCAAAGCAGCUCGCAUGUAUAGAAUGGAAUGUGUGAAGAUUGACUGUCUGAUCUCUGGUGAAAUUGAUUGUGCUGAUUUUAAAAUUAAACUACUUGCUAACAAGGACAAACCAGCCAUCAUCAAUGUUAAUAUAGGCACAACUGUCAAAGGAGCUGUUGAUGACCUUGAUCUUGUCAUACAAACCCUUGAAGAAAGUGGAUUUACACAUGAUCGGUUUUACAUCCACUGUGAUGGAGCUUUGUUUGGACUUAUGAUGCCUUUUGUCAAGCGUGCGCCAAAGGUCACUUUCAAAAAGCCCAUUGGAAGCGUGAGUGUUUCUGGUCACAAGUUUGUUGGCUGCCCAAUGCCAUGUGGUGUGCAGAUAACAAGGAUGGAACACAUUAAUACUCUCUCAAGGAAUGUUGAGUACCUUGCUUCAAGGGAUGCCACAAUCAUGGGAAGCCGCAAUGGCCAUGCUCCCAUCUUCCUUUGGUACACUCUCAACAGAAAAGGCUACAUAGGAUUCCGGAAAGAAGUACAGAAGUGUCUCAGAAAUGCUCAUUACUUGAAGGACCGCCUACUUGAUGCUGGGAUUAGUGCUAUGUUGAAUGAGCUCAGCAGCACAGUUGUGUUUGAGCGGCCUCGAGAUGAGGAGUUUGUGCGCCGGUGGCAACUAGCUUGUCAAGGGAAUAUUGCACAUGUGGUGGUGAUGCCCAAUGUCACCAUUGAGAAGUUGGAUGAUUUCUUGAAUGAAUUGACUGAGAAGCGCUCAACUUGGUAUCAGGAUGGACAAGUUCAGCCUCCGUGUAUUGCAGCAGAUGUGGGAAAUGAGAAUUGUGCUUGUGCUCAGCAUAAAUGAAGAAUUGUCACGAGAAUUAUUACUCUGUUGUAGUCGUUGUUUCAUUUUGCAACGGAAGACUUUGAUUAUUUUAGAGUCCGGAUUGUUAGGCCUUUCUAUUGCCCUAUGUUUCCAUAAUUUCAUAUAUUCUGUUUGACUUGU
rnacentral:misc_RNA from 1 species